rnacentral:tRNA from 1 species
AAAAGGUCGGGAUAGCUCAGUUGGAG